UACAGAGGGGGCAAGCGUUGUUCGGAAUUACUGGGCGUAAAGGGCGCGUAGGCGGCCCGCUAAGUCGAACGUGAAAUCCCCGGGCUCAACCCGGGAACUGCGUCCGAUACUGGUGGGCUCGAAUCCGGGAGAGGGAUGCGGAAUUCCAGGUGUAGCGGUGAAAUGCGUAGAUAUCUGGAGGAACACCGGUGGCGAAGGCGGGUCUCUGGGCCGAUACUGACGCUGAGGAGCGAAAGCGUGGGGAGCGAACAGG
rnacentral:rRNA from 1 species